rnacentral:tRNA from 1 species
GAAGGUAUAGCUUAGUGGUAGAGCCCCUACCUAGCAAGCAGAAGGUCUUGAGUUCAUACUUCAGUACUGCCA